AACGCAAAUUGCACUUCUUGGUAUUCCGAGGAGUAUACUUGCUUGAGGGUUGGUCUACAAAAAAUCGUAAAUUUUUUUUUUACGGAUCUGGGUUUUCCGAGUUUUCUCGACUUCGGUUGCCUAAAAUUUAUCUUAACGAUGAGGUGUUAAUUAGAAAUGUUUUAUCUUACAUAUUGUAGGUUCAUUAAUAAUUAUACCAAUUGUUAUGUCGCGUUAUUCAUCUAGUAUUUUUGAUUAGGUGAAAUAAUUCAAUUUUUUAAUCCUACCUCAAGUCAAGUAAGGAUACCCGCUGAACUUAA
rnacentral:misc_RNA from 1 species